AAUUAUCAUAAUCUAGUUUAGAGUUUGUUUGUCAAACAGAGGGACAUUUUGUCUUAAUAUGAUUUUUACACGCCUCAAACAGCCAAGAAAUCAUCUAAAACUCCUGAUCUACCAUUUCAAGUGUUUUCAAGAAUGAUCAUCAAGCAUAACUGACGCUGAAAAUCUGUCACACAGUGUUAUGCCACUCUCUGAAUUUGCCACACCUGCUGUUAUUAAACUGAUGCCAUUGCCACCCACUCUUUGAAACGUAAUAAUAGCACUCUUCAAAUCAAACAUACGGCAUGCUGUUUAUCAAGUAUAAUCAUGUGUCUCACACACACCUGACUUACGUGGGAGUUGUUUUUGUUCUAUUAUGGACUUUCUGUGAAGUGGAAAUAACGCAGGUUGUUUCUGAUGUACUUAGUUAAUUAAGGCUUUGGGCAUUACAGUAAUUCUUCAGCUAUUUUCCUGGUAUGUAACCUACACCCCACGACCUAGUUAUCUUCAAAAUAUAUACUUCUUCUUUGCUUUUUCUUUACUGCUUUACUCUUUUCUGUUUCCAUGUCUUAGAUGAAACACCUGAACCACUGUCUGACAAAUAUUAACUAUAAAAGGAAGCCUUUGGCUGCUGAGGAUGAAACUGCAAGGGCAAACAACCUGAACUGUUAUUAUGUCCAAUUGGAAAUAGACACUUUCAAGGAAUACCUUGAUAUCUCGGACAAUGUAAAGUACAAUAAAAAUAACACGACAAAUUUAUGCACUGUUAUAUUUUUUUCUUUAACAACACAGUUAGGAACACAUUCACAGCUAAGGGGUAUAAUACAGAUAUAAGAAUAAGUGCACUGCAUAUAAUGAGCUUAAAAAAUCUUGUAUUUUUAACUUUUAUUUUUAACCUCCUUCCCUUAGUAAUCAAAUAAAGGGUCAGACAAAAUAAAUCCAAUAGCAAUAUUACUAAUAAUAAUCCUUUUCCUCCUAAAUGCUGUGAUUUAGUUAUACACAUAUAGAACCAUAUACAACAGGUAACAUGAGUAUUAAAUAUGUUGCCAGUUUGCUAAAUACAUUUAUUUAUUUAUUCAUUUGUCUAAAGGUGUUAUUGACAGGUAAUACUGAAAUUCUGAUCAGAUCUCAGUAACAACUCAUCAAAUCCACACAUGCAGAGAGAUCAAACCAUAGAUCUCCAUAAAUAAAGCUUUGCGUAUUAAUGAGAAAUGAUCCAGGGAAAAAGUAUUGAACCGCUUCUUGAAAUUUAUUAAAUACAUCAUGCAAAAAUUCUUUGUUGCUUUGUUACGACCCCUCUGCUAGGGGCCAGGGCGAGAGUAACAUAAACGAGCCCUUACACAGGAAUCUAACAGAAACAGGGAUUUUAUUACCAAUUUUACAACAGAAAACUGUCAGGGCUGCACAAAGCAAGCCACUGGGCAAUGUUACAUACACACACAAAGGAAAUAAGACACAGGGGCACUGUAGACAACUAAACAAGGCUUGAGGAAGGGAGGAAAAAUAACUUAAUACAAUAAACCCUACUCAGCUAAUGUCACGGACCCGGUUCCGGGGACUCGGGGUCCGUGAACAGUGUGGACCAUUAUUAUUAUUAUUAUUAUUAUUAUUAGCAUUAUCAUUAUUUGGAUUGUCUUUAUUAUUAUUAUUAUUAUUAUUAUUAUUAUUAUUAUUAUUUUGGUGUGUUGUCUGCACUGCCUCUGAUCUCUGCCCUCAUCUGUAUGUAGGCAGGUUUGUGUGUGUUUGUGUGUUGCUGUUUCUGUGGCCAAGUUACAGGCAUCUUCAGGCCUGAGGGGCGUGGCCUAGCUCGAGGACUGGCCACACCCGAAGCCCUUGCCACACACCUGCUCCUCAUCAGGGCUCGUCGGUGGAACUAUUUAGAGGAGUGAUGGAGCUUCCACCGACGCUGGAUUAUUGCGUUUGACUACACGAGAAAUGUGGGAUGAGAAGGAGCAGUGAGCACGGGGAGUGCAGGGACACUGGGGCAGAGAGCACUACACGGAGACUUUUGGGAAGAAGACACUACACGGGAGUCUGGGAAACUGGGGAUUUAUUGUCAUUUACCUCACCACCUUGUAAAUAAACACUGUUGCACUGAA